rnacentral:lncRNA from 1 species
CAGCUAGACUCAGUUUAGUGACCCCAAUUUUGUUGGCAACAUCCAAAGCAUCAUGGUCAGGAGCCAAGCAAACACAUGCCUUCUUCUCUCUAUUGAGUCUGAUCAGGGUGUUCACCUUGGCUACAUCAAUGUCAUAGAGGUUCUUCACAGACUGUUUGAUCUAGUGCUUGUUGGCCUUGACAUCCACAAUGAAUACAACUGUGUUGUUGUCUUCUAUCUUCUUCAUGGCUGACCUGGUAAGCAGGAGGAACAUGCUGAUGGCAUAGUGGUGAAGCUUGUUCCUCCUGGGGGUUUCAAGGACAUUUGGGCUGCCUUCAGAGACAUAGUGUCUUAGGCUGUUGUAAUGUAGGUGUCAUGCGGAUCUUCUCUUUUUGUGUGACUGUGGAUGCCUUUCAGCACCGCUUUCUUGGCCUUUAAAACCUUUGCUUUGGCUUUGCGAGGGACAGUCUUCCUUCUUUGGUGCCUUUGGUGCCAUCCAUUAUGAAAAGG